GCACAUCAACAAAGUCUUUGUUGACAGCCAAGCAGUGUGAAGUGACACAAACUGUUUGGCAAAUAUUUCGCUAACUGAGCACUUUAUAGUCUUAAAUCUUAAUGAAAACCUUUUUGUAAUAAAUUAUCAAAGUAAAUGGAGCAUUUAAUGCCAGAAAUCAAACCUUUUGCAUCAAAGAAAAGAGCUUCAAGUCACUUCUUGGGACUCCAUAUGCCAGAUGGAUCUAGUGGCAUUCACCAGGCUUCUCCACAAACACAUCAGAGAUCCUCUUUUGGAAGUCAUGAAAUGCAACCUUUUAAUCGGGAGGUAUUUAAUGUUAAGACAUUUGAAGGGGUGUGAUUAGUUGGAC